CAACCUUUCCUUUUUUCACCGGGAGCCUUGCUCCACCGGAAAAGAAGAGUGGCGAACGGGUGAGUAACACGUGGGUAACCUGCCCAUCAGAAGGGGAUAACACUUGGAAACAGGUGCUAAUACCGUAUAACAAUCAAAACCGCAUGGUUUUGAUUUGAAAGGCGCUUUCGGGUGUCGCUGAUGGAUGGACCCGCGGUGCAUUAGCUAGUUGGUGAGGUAACGGCUCACCAAGGCCACGAUGCAUAGCCGACCUGAGAGGGUGAUCGGCCACAUUGGGACUGAGACACGGCCCAAACUCCUACGGGAGGCAGCAGUAGGGAAUCUUCGGCAAUGGACGAAAGUCUGACCGAGCAACGCCGCGUGAGUGAAGAAGGUUUUCGGAUCGUAAAACUCUGUUGUUAGAGAAGAACAAGGAUGAGAGUAACUGUUCAUCCCUUGACGGUAUCUAACCAGAAAGCCACGGCUAACUACGUGCCAGCAGCCGCGGUAAUACGUAGGUGGCAAGCGUUGUCCGGAUUUAUUGGGCGUAAAGCGAGCGCAGGCGGUUUCUUAAGUCUGAUGUGAAAGCCCCCGGCUCAACCGGGGAGGGUCAUUGGAAACUGGGAGACUUGAGUGCAGAAGAGGAGAGUGGAAUUCCAUGUGUAGCGGUGAUGUGGGGGAAAAUAUA
rnacentral:rRNA from 1 species